rnacentral:rRNA from 1 species
CCUACGGGUGGCAGCAGUGGGGAAUAUUGGACAAUGGGGGGAACCCUGAUCCAGCCAUGCCGCGUGUGUGAAGAAGGCCCUCGGGUUGUAAAGCACUUUCAGUGAGGAAGAACGCCUGGUGGUUAAUACCCAUCAGGAAAGACAUCACUCACAGAAGAAGCACCGGCUAACUCCGUGCCAGCAGCCGCGGUAAUACGGAGGGUGCGAGCGUUAAUCGGAAUUACUGGGCGUAAAGCGCGCGUAGGUGGCUUGAUAAGCCGGUUGUGAAAGCCCCGGGCUCAACCUGGGAACGGCAUCCGGAACUGUCAAGCUAGAGUGCAGGAGAGGAAGGUAGAAUUCCCGGUGUAGCGGUGAAAUGCGUAGAGAUCGGGAGGAAUACCAGUGGCGAAGGCGGCCUUCUGGACUGACACUGACACUGAGGUGCGAAAGCGUGGGUAGCAAACAGGAUUAGAUACCCCAGUGGUC